rnacentral:rRNA from 1 species
AGCCAGCAGCCGCGGUAAGACGGAGGGGGCAAGCGUUGUCCGGAAUUACUGGGCGUAAAGCGCACGUAGGCGGUUCGUUACGGCGGUGGUGAAAGCUCCCGGCUCAACUGGGAGAGGCCCACCGCAACGGGCGGACUCGAGGCUGGUAGAGGUCAACGGAAUUCCUGGUGUAGCGGUGAAAUGCGUAGAGAUCAGGAGGAACACCCGUGGCGAAGGCGGUUGACUGGGCCAGUCCUGACGCUGAGGUGCGAAAGCCAGGGGAGUGAACGGGAUUAGAUACCCCGGUAAUCCUGGCUGUAAACGAUGGAUACUAGGUGUCAGCGGUAUCGACCCCGCUGGUGCCGGAGCUAACGCGUGAAGUAUCCCGCCUGGGGAGUACGGCCGCAAGGUUGAAACUCAAAGGAAUUGACGGGGGCCCGCACA